rnacentral:siRNA from 1 species
UUAUUGAUUUAGGUACUUCUUUC